rnacentral:rRNA from 1 species
UACGUAGGGUGCGAGCGUUAAUCGGAAUUACUGGGCGUAAAGCGUGCGCAGGCGGUUCGUUGUGUCGGCGGUGAAAGCCCCGGGCUUAACCUGGGGAAUGGCCGUUGAAACUGGCGAACUGGAGUGUGGCAGAGGGGGGUGGAAUUCCGCGUGUAGCAGUGAAAUGCGUAGAGAUGCGGAGGAACACCGAUGGCGAAGGCAGCCCCCUGGGCUAACACUGACGCUCAGGCACGAAAGCGUGGGGAGCAAACAGG